rnacentral:pre_miRNA from 1 species
AGCCUUCUGUAUCCGUGCUGAGAUUUCGUCACACACCAGACCACAAGGGCUGAUGAGA